GAGACGCCGCCGCCUGUGACGUCGUUUGCGCUCAGUUUGUUCAGAUACGCUGGGGCUCCAUUCUGGCGGUGGUCCCGACGCUCCUCUUGGUCGUGCUUGUCAUCCAAAACAUCGUCUUCUUCCACUUGAACAGGCCUCAGGACAUCGUCAAAGAGUUGGGCGCGCUGGUGGCGACUUUGCCCAACAGCAUCCCAGACCACAACUGCACCGAUUUAGCCUGCCACUGGGCGGCGCUGCAGACCGCAUUGGCAGAGCUGAAGGCAGAGCUGAAGGCAGAGCUGAAGGCAGGUCAGGAGGCAGGUCAGACGGCAUUGGCAGAGCUGAAGGCAGGUCAGACCGCAUUGGCAGAGCUGAAGGCAGGUCAGGAGGCAGG